AUUGAACGCUGGCGGCAGGCCUAACACAUGCAAGUCGAGCGGAGCGGCGGACGGGUGCGUAAUGCCUAGGAAUCUGCCUGGUAGUGGGGGAUAACGUCCGGAAACGGGCGCUAAUACCGCAUACUAUCAGAUGAGCCUAGGUCGGAUUAGCUAGUUGGUGGGGUAAAGGCCUACCAAGGCGACGAUCCGUAACUGGGCUGAGAGGAUGAUCAGUCAACCUGGAACUGAGACACGGUCCAGCUUCCUACGGUAGGCAGCAUGGGGGAAUAUGGGACAAUGGGCGAAAGCCUGAUCCAGCCAUGCCGGGUGUGUGAAGAAGGUCUGCGGAUUGUAAAGCACUUUAAGUUGGGAGGCGUUACCAACAGAAUAAGCACCGGCUAACUUCGUGCCAGCAGCCGCGGUAAUU
rnacentral:rRNA from 1 species